CUCAGCCUCCCAAAGUGUUGGGAUUACAGACAUGAGCCACUGAGCCCAGCCCCUUCAGAUGGGUUUUGAGGCUUCACUACAAUACUAGUUUCCCGUGGCUGCUGCAACAAAUUACCACACAGUGACUUAAAACAACACGAAUGUAUUCCCCUACAGUUCUGAAGACCAGAAUUCUAAAGUAAGUCCCACUGAAGCAAGGUGGGAGCAGGGUUGUUGCCUUCCGAGGCUCUGCAGGAGAAUCUGUCUCCUGGCCCUGGAGGCGGCCUGCACUUCUCAGCUUGUGCUGCAUGUCCUGAAUGACUGGAGUUUCCUGCUUCCGUCACUACACCUCCCACCCUCUCCAUCACCUUCUCUGCUCUUAUAAGGAUCCGGUUUUCAGAGAAAUGGAAUAAUCGUAUUGCUGAUGUACAUAAGCAAGUUGAAGAAUUGUCUGAAAGAAAAUAUGGUAUGUCUAAACUGGAAAAGUCCUGUAAUCCUGUGUUCAUGAGCAUUUACACAGUGGAGUUACUCUUCAUCAUGGGGGUACCAUGGACAGGCCCAGGGCUGCUGAAAUGAACUUACGAAUUCAACAGGUGAAGAUUUACAGUUUGAUUAAACAGCUUCAGGAGAGAUGAACUUAUGAAUUCAACAGGUGAAGAUUUACAACUUGAUAAAUCAGCUUUGUGAGCUCCAACUGUAAAAGCCAACGGUCCGGGGAUGAUCCCAUACUGUUUUUUCCAGUCUCAUGUUGAAGAUUUUUAUGUAGAAGUUCUUCCCAAAGGAAUGUUUUUUUUUUUUGAGACAGAGUUUUCACUCUUGUCGCCCAGGCUGGAGUGCAAUGGCGUGACCUUGGCUCA